GUCACGUGGUAUAACAAAAUCAAAAUUGUUCGUUUAUCAUGAAAUUACAAUCCUUUCGUCAAUAUGAUCCGAUCAACUACGAGAUAUGGAAGUGUGUCAAUCUCGAUUAUCGAUCAUAUCUUUCAUUCUACUAUUAAGUCAAUAUGAGUCGAAAACUCCUUUUCGACUUAUAUGUAUACCUUGGUCAAAGAUUUCGUUAUUGACUUAAUUGAACGAAAUGCAGAUCACAAUCUCUUACUAUCUAAGAGUGACGAAUCCUCUAUUGGUCAUUCACAAUCUUAAUAUGGUUCUUGAUAUACCCGAACGAUGUCGUAUUAGCAGCCUUGGCAGAGUAACAUCCAACACCGUCAAAGCAUGACUGUCCUCAUAUAAGGCACUAUGAUGACCUCAAGUUAUAGGACCAAUUCCACUACCGAACGUUAGAGAUUAACCACUGACACUCAAAUAGUAAUCCAUGUGGAAUCUCUUAGCGGGUCUCCAAUGUUUUGUUCUAUAACAAAACAUCCACAUGUUCAUUUAAGUGUCACCACACUUUAACUCGUGAGAUCAGCUACUUACUUCACAAGUAAGAAAUGCCACACGUGAUGGUCUAACUGUAUUAACAAUAUCCGUAUCUCGUUAUUACUUACGACCACGGUUUAUUCAAGAUCCAAUCAUACGUAAUUUGUAUCUCACAAUCACAACUCCUUGUAAUUAACAAAUCACUUAAACUUGGAUCUUCAGAUUCUAUUAUUAAAUAUUA
rnacentral:lncRNA from 1 species